ensembl:lncRNA
UGGCCGCGGUCGGACAGGCUCGUGUUCAGGUCACGCCUUGGCUGGAUCAGCUUCCCUGAGGCAGAGUACCGGAAGCCAGUCACGAGUGCAGGCCUAGGGAGUGGAGGCUGAGCCAGGUUCCAGGAGUGGGAGGAAGGCGGCUGCAUCAGGGAACAAGCUAUCUCAAAAGGCUGUGGCCCGUCGUCAUCGUCCUAGUCUUGUCGUCCCUGUACCGUCCCGAGUAUCCCAGUCCUGCCCCUCCAAGGUCCCUCCCCUUCUGCCCUGGUGACCCCAGUUCCCGUGGCAUAGGAGCGGGCGGUCAUGCACCUCACUAAUGCUUAGCAGACCGGGAGGAAGGACUGGAGCUGUGUUCCCAUUCCACAGUGGAAAUCUCCCUGAGUUUCUGCAAUUCUCACCAUGCUGAUGAGCACACCUAAUCUGGACCUAGGAGAAAACCUCAGCCAUUUGCCCUGCUGAACACGCACUUCUUCCUCACAGCUUUCCUGCCCUCUGGCUGACACAGGCUGCCUCUUGGCCCCCUUGACUUUCUCCACUAACUAAAUGUCACACCUGCAGCUGUAGUUCCCAAGAGAUGCUCUCCAGGGUUACCUAUAAAACUGCUAGAGUCACAGAAGACGGUACAUCAGGAGCAACCCACAGAUGUGGAGGUGAGGGGCAGGCGGAAGUGCUAACACAGGUGGCCUUCCUGCUCCCCACUGCCCUAAGGAGAACCCAGACCUCUCCACGUGCUCAAGAGCUAAUGUGACCCGGGUGCCAUGGUGCAUGCCUGCAAUGCCAACUACUCAGGAAGGAUCAAGAAGUUCAAGACCAGGCUGGACACCUGAGUUAGACCUUGUCGCACAAUUAAAAAUUAAAAGGGCUGUGGUUGUAGUACAGUGUGAACAUCCUGAACUCAAAUCCUUUGUCCCCUCCACCCCAAAAGAGAGAGAGAAAAGGAGAGGAGGGGAGGGAAAGCCAAUCUAUUCAUCACACUGUAUCACGAACAGAGAAUGCUGUCUCCCUGGCCAGCAGUGAGCUUCCGAGGGUAGGCACAAUGCAGGUGCUCAAUGGUUAUCUCUGUACCUCUGUAUUCAUGAAUUACGAUACUCAUGAACACAUCUUGGAGUCUUCCUGCCUCUUGAUUUUACUGCCCUUACUAUCUUAAUGUUAAUUGCUUCAUAAGUUCAAUUCUUUCCCAAUUCAUAAAGCCCAUUUUCUGUGGGCGUGGUAGCACAUCCUGUAGUCCCAGCACUGUUAAGGCUGAAGCAGUAGGAUUACUGAGUUCAGAGUGAGCUGGGGCUACCUACUGAGUUCAGGACCAACCUGGACUACACAGUGAGACCCUGCCUCAAAGAAGAAAAGGUGACUUCCUACUCUAUCCUCACCACUUCACAACAAACACUGUCCAAGCCUCUGUGCCUCAGGCACUACGCCUUGUGUGAUGACUACGGACUCCAUUCUUCAGGCAGAUAUUACGGACUAACUGGCAGUUGCAAGUGGAAAGGAAAUGCUAUAAUGGAAAACCAUAAACACAAGUUGAUUCAGAGACUUUCAGUAAUAGUAAUAACUGCAGCAUUUACUGUAGAAAUGAAACUAUACUGAAUGCUUUACAUAUAUAAUCUUUGUUAUCUUUACAACUCAAUGAACAAAGUGGGGGAUCGAGGCCAGCAAGGUUAAGUCACCUGUCCAACUACACAAGUCACGAGGAUUGAUCAGGAUUAGAGUCCGCUAAAGGAGAUAUUUUCUGGUAGAAAAGGCACCUCAUGUAGGAGGUAUGAAUGGAAUAUAUGAAUGGAAAAUAGAUCUCUCUCUCUCUAAUAAAAGUGUGAAAUGUAACAUGAGAUCAACCCUCUUUGUGUCCUUGUCCUGUG